rnacentral:rRNA from 1 species
AUUGAACGCUGGCGGCAGGCUUAACACAUGCAAGUCGAGCGGAGAUGAGGUGCUUGCACCUUAUCUUAGCGGCGGACGGGUGAGUAAUGCUUAGGAAUCUGCCUAUUAGUGGGGGACUACAUUCCGAAAGGAAUGCUAAUACCGCAUACGUCCUACGGGAGAAAGCAGGGGACCUUCGGGCCUUGCGCUAAUAGAUGAGCCUAAGUCGGAUUAGCUAGUUGGUGGGGUAAAGGCCUACCAAGGCGACGAUCUGUAGCGGGUCUGAGAGGAUGAGCCGCCACACUUGGACUGAGACACGGCCCAGACUCCUACGGGAGGCAGCAGUGGGGAAUAUUGGACAAUGGGCGGAAGCCUGAUCCAGCCAUGCCGCGUGUGUGAAGAAGGCCUUUUGGUUGUAAAGCACUUUAAGCGAGGAGGAGGCUACUUAGAUUAAUACUCUAGGAUAGUGGACGUUACUCGCAGAAUAAGCACCGGCUGACUCUGUGCCAGCCGCCGCUGUAAAAC